rnacentral:rRNA from 1 species
CUGCAACUCGACUGCGUGAAGGCGGAGUCGCUAGUAAUCGCGGAUCAGCAACGCCGCGGUGAAUGCGUUCCCGGGCCUUGUACACACCGCCCGUCAAGUCAUGAAAGUGGGUAGCACCCGAAGCCGGUGGCCCGACCCUCGUGGGGGAGCCGUCUAAGGUGAGACUCGUGAUUGGGACUAAGUCGUAACAAGGUAAC